CAGGAAUAUUUAAGUUUAUUUGAUAAUACGGGUGAGAUGUUACGUUGCGCAUCUCGAGUGUUUUUUGUUUACCCAUGAGCCCACGUAUGACGUUGCUGUGGCGGUUGACGCCUCGUGUGUGAAUCCACUUCGCAGGGAAUAUUUGUGUUGGCGACCUUUCACAGAAGUGGCAGUUAUUGGGCACAAGUCUUUACACUCAUGAAGCCAGUGUUAUGUCCAAUGGGCUGUGGAUAUGGGUUUGUGCCGUAACUGAGAUUACGCGAUGGCAACUACUGGGAAUCAUGGAUUGUGAUAGUGUGGCCAUUGAAGUUGAAACUUUGCUCCAAUAAAAGACUGUUGCAGCUGAUGGCUUUUCCUUGAUCUCCC